rnacentral:tRNA from 1 species
GCGAUGGUGGUAUAGUGGUGAGCAUAGCUGCCUUCCAAGUAGUUGACCUGGAUUUGAUUCCCAACCAUCACA